rnacentral:rRNA from 1 species
GUCUACGGCCAUACUACCCUCAACACACCCAAUUUCAUCUGAUCUCGGAAGCUAAGCAGGGUUGGUCCAGGUUAGUACUUGGAUAAGAGACCACCUAGGAAGACCGGGUGCUGUAGGCG